AUUGAACGCUGGCGGCAUGCUUUACACAUGCAAGUCGAACGGUAACAGGCCUUCGGGUGCUGACGAGUGGCGGACGGGUGCGUAAUGCAUCGGAACGUACCCAGAGGUGGGGGAUAACGCAGCGAAAGCUGUGCUAAUACCGCAUGUGAUCUGAGGAUGAAAGCGGGGGACCGAGCAGCAAUGUUUGGCCUCGCGCCUUUGGAGCGGCCGAUGUCGGAUUAGCUAGUUGGUGGGGUAAAGGCCUACCAAGGCGACGAUCCGUAGCUGGUCUGAGAGGACGACCAGCCACACUGGGACUGAGACACGGCCCAGACUCCUACGGGAGGCAGCAGUGGGGAAUUUUGGACAAUGGGCGCAAGCCUGAUCCAGCAAUGCCGCGUGCGGGAAGAAGGCCUUCGGGUUGUAAACCGCUUUUGGCAGGAACGAAACGGUGUCCGCUAAUACCGGGCGCUAAUGACGGUACCUGCAGAAUAAGCACCGGCUAACUACGUG
rnacentral:rRNA from 1 species